rnacentral:rRNA from 1 species
GAUGAACGCUGACAGAAUGCUUAACACAUGCAAGUCUUUGGCGAAGCUGUGCUUGCACAGCCUAGCCAAGGCGGACGGGUGAGUAACGCGUAAGGAACUUGCCCUGCAGUCAGGGAUAACAGACGGAAACGACUGAUAAGACCUGGUAAAGUCAGGCGGACUCAUGUCCAGCCUGAUGAAAAGGGAUGCUGCAGGAGAGCCUUGCGUCCUAUUAGCUUGUUGGUGGGGUAACGGCCCACCAAGGCGAUGAUAGGUAGCCGGCCUGAGAGGGUGGACGGCCACAAGGGGACUGAGAUACGGCCCUUACUCCUACGGGAGGCAGCAGUGGGGAAUAUUGGACAAUGGGGGCAACCCUGAUCCAGCAAUUCUGUGUGCACGAUGAAGGUUUUCGGAUUGUAAAGUGCUUUCAGCAGGGAAGAAAAAAAUGACGGUACCUGCAGAAGAAGCGACGGCUAAAUACGUG